ACCGGGCAUGGUGGUGUGUGCCUAUAGUCCCAGCUACUUGGGAGGCUGAGGUGGGAGAAUCGCUUGAGUCCAGGAGUUCUGGGCCGUAGUGUGCUAUGCUAAUCGGGUGUCCGCACUAAGUUCGGCAUCAAUAUGGUGACCUCCCAGGAAUGGGGGACCACCAGGUGGCCUAAGGAGGGGUGAACUGGCCCAGGUCGGAAACGGAGCGGGUCAAAACUCCUGUGCUUAUCAGUAGUGGGAUCUCGCCUGUGAAUAGCCACUGCACUCCAGCCUGGGCAACAUAGUGAGACAUCGUCUCU
rnacentral:SRP_RNA from 1 species